rnacentral:lncRNA from 1 species
CAUCUCUCAAUGUGAACAGACUCUUGAAUGAACCUGAGAAAUGAUAUGCAUGAGCAAAUUAGCUUUUUUCCUUUUUUGUAUUCUUUCUCUUUUUUUUAUUGCAUUAUUUUUUAAAAUAAACAUGCUAUGAUGCAAAUGAUGCAACUAUGACUGGCUGGCUGUACAUCACGAGGCACAGGAUCAGAGCUUCGCAUGAAUUUGGAACCGAAAACCACAGAUCAAGGUCAUCUGGAACCCAAGGUCAUCUGGAACCCAUACUUCAGAACCAAGUC